CAAUGAUAUUCGGCUUACGCCGAGUGAUAUUGCUUCGCAAUGAUAUUCACCUUCGGUGAAUGAUAUUGCGC
rnacentral:sRNA from 1 species